GUUAGUUUAAGACUGCUUUCAUAUUGUGUCUACCUGUGUUUCCUAGGAGGGACACAGAGUGUGUAGUUGUGUGCUCAUGAAUGUGUUUUCUGUAUUGGCAUAUCUGCUGGGUACCCAAUACGUGUAUCUACUACGUCUGUUUUGUGAGAUGACAUGUAAUAUUACAUUGAAUGCUGAGUAUGAGUUAUAUGGUUUGAAAUGAAUUGGUGUGUUAUGUGUUUCAUGUAUUUUAUUGUCCAUUGUGUAGGAGUUUAACUAUCAGAGUGAUUUGCAUAUCAUUAACGCAAGCAUUUAGUGUUUUUACAAAAGGUGAAAUGCUGUCCAGCCGGCUAGAAUGAAACAAUUGUAUGCUAUCGCUCAUGGAGCACGAAAAGCGCUUGUUACAUCCCACGUGAAAGGGGCCCCGCAAACUUCUGCUGUUCAAAUCGUGGCUCCACAUUUCCAUUUGCAAACUGAUUAAUCCUGAAAGUCAUUCUUUUACUGAUAAAAAGGAUUGAAUGGACAAGAUGUCUCUCCCUCAUAAAGAGGUUCUAAUAGGGGAGUAUUGUCCAGCUCAGAGUUAACUCUAUUUUUAAAGUAUAUUGCAUUGUUUGUGUCAAAGUAAGAUUCAUCUAGUAUGCCUCAUUGAUUAUGGGGUAAUAAUAACAUGGUAUUUUAAUAGAGAUUAGACAAUUUCUGAAAUUUAUAAGUGAGGUAAUUUUAAUCGCCUAAACUACUGUAUUAUAUUUGUAUGGGUAAUUUGAAAGCAUUUUGCAGAUCCAGAAGAG